UUGUUAGUCCCAUAAGAGCAGAGCACAGCCUCAGCAUUGUUACCUCUGGAUAAGAACAUGCAUGAAUUCAGAGACCAGGAAGUUCCAGUCUCUUCAAGGAUUAAGUCAGAGAAUCUUAAGGGAUAAGAGUCUGGCCAUACAGUUCCAGGAAGAAGCUCCAACAUCUGUUCCAUCUGUGUCUGGGCCCAGAUUGGGACACCAUGAAGCCAACUGGCAAAAUAUUUUCUUCCUAACUACUUCAAACCUUGACCUUGGACACACCUCAAAAAGAAAAAUGCUGCCACCACCGAUUCUGUGAGCCUGGAAGACGGUAGCUUUGGGAGGCAGGACGAAUAAAGUUUUCUUCAAGGUCAUAUAUUACUUCAUAGUGGAGCUGGGGUUCUGCAAUCCCUGUGGUGCCUAACACAGAGCUUUGUACACAGGAGACAUUACAGAAAUGUGUAUUUGCUAAUUGUAGGUGAAUUCCUGAAAGUUGUGUGUGAAUUCCAUUUUUAUAAAUUGAAUAAUACUUUUAAAACAUAUGGGGGGCAUGUUUAAAAGAAUACUGCAUUGGAUCAUUUUGUAAAAUGAAUAUCUACCUCAAUUUAUCUAUUUUGCCAGCAGAAUUAGGUUUAUCAGUUUUCCUAAAAACUGAGCUGAAGGAUGUGUGCAGUGGCUCAUGCCUGUAAUCCUAGCAUUUUGGGAGUCUGAGGUGGGUGGAUCUCUUGAGGCCAGGAGUUCAAGACCAGCCUGGCCAACAUGGUGAAACCACAUCUCUACUAAAAAUACAAAAAUUAGCCAGGUGUGGCGGUGCACGACUGUAAUCCCAGCUAUUGAGGUGGCUGAGGCAAAAGAAUCCCUUGAAC
rnacentral:lncRNA from 1 species